rnacentral:rRNA from 1 species
GACGAACGCUGGCGGCGUGCUUAACACAUGCAAGUCUAACGGAAAGGCCCUGCUUUUGUGGGGUGCUCGAGUGGCGAACGGGUGAGUAACACGUGAGUAACCUGCCCUUGACUUUGGGAUAACUUCAGGAAACUGGGGCUAAUACCGGAUAGGAGCUCCUGCUGCAUGGUGGGGGUUGGAAAGUUUCGGCGGUUGGGGAUGGACUCGCGGCUUAUCAGCUUGUUGGUGGGGUAGUGGCUUACCAAGGCUUUGACGGGUAGCCGGCCUGAGAGGGUGACCGGCCACAUUGGGACUGAGAUACGGCCCAGACUCCUACGGGAGGCAGCAGUGGGGAAUAUUGCACAAUGGGCGGAAGCCUGAUGCAGCAACGCCGCGCGCGGGAUGACGGCCUUCGGGUUGUAAACCGCUUUCGCCUGUGACGAAGCGUGAGUGACGGUAAUGGGUAAAGAAGCACCGGCUAACUACGUGCCAGCAGCCGCGGCGAUACGUAGGGUGCGAGCGUUGUCCGGAUUUAUUGGGCGUAAAGGGCUCGUAGGUGGUUGAUCGCGUCGGAAGUGUAAUCUUGGGGCUUAACCCUGAGCGUGCUUUCGAUACGGGUUGACUUGAGGAAGGUAGGGGAGAAUGGAAUUCCUGGUGGAGCGGUGGAAUGCGCAGAUAUCAGGAGGAACACCAGUGGCGAAGGCGGUUCUCUGGGCCUUUCCUGACGCUGAGGAGCGAAAGCGUGGGGAGCGAACAGGCUUAGAUACCCUGGUAGUCCACGCUGUAAACGGUGGGUACUAGGUGUGGGGUCCAUUCCACGGGUUCCGUGCCGUAGCUAACGCUUUAAGUACCCCGCCUGGGGAGUACGGCCGCAAGGCUAAAACUCAAAGGAAUUGACGGGGCCCCGCACAAGCGGCGGAGCAUGCGGAUUAAUUCGAUGCAACGCGUAGAACCUUACCUGGGUUUGACAUGGAUCGGGAGUGCUCAGAGAUGGGUGUGCCUCUUUUGGGGUCGGUUCACAGGUGGUGCAUGGCUGUCGUCAGCUCGUGUCGUGAGAUGUUGGGUUAAGUCCCGCAACGAGCGCAACCCUUGUUCACUGUUGCCAGCACGUUAUGGUGGGGACUCAGUGGAGACCGCCGGGGUCAACUCGGAGGAAGGUGGGGAUGACGUCAAGUCAUCAUGCCCCUUAUGUCCAGGGCUUCACGCAUGCUACAAUGGCUGGUACAGAGAGUGGCGAGCCUGUGAGGGUGAGCGAAUCUCGGAAAGCCGGUCUCAGUUCGGAUUGGGGUCUGCAACUCGACCUCAUGAAGUCGGAGUCGCUAGUAAUCGCAGAUCAGCAACGCUGCGGUGAAUACGUUCCCGGGGCU